CUCGAAUUGGACAACUGGAUCACAAGCAAGACUAUUUCGUGGGACAUCUGGUGCCGAAACCCGGGAACUUGUUAACAUCACCGGCAUUGCGGAGACCCCUCUAACGGGGCGGAUUCAGAACUGCAGGGUGGUAAAUUCGGAGAGGAUGAAGAGAAUCCCCUGUGGAUCCCGGAAAGACUCACACAAAGAGCCCCUUCGGACCUUCAAAAGUUGAAACUCCACCCUCUCCCCGGGAGUUGAGAGCCGCUAUUAUUAUCCAGAUUAACUCCUGUCCUUGACGGAGAGAUUGUCAUCAUAAAUCGCUUAAGGGGUGGGGAUGGGAUUGUUUGGUGCAGCCGUUUGCUGCGGAUUGAUGUUGCUUCUCUGGCUGGUCUGUAGGCUCAGGGCUCAAACUAAGAGAGACAAGAUGGUUAUCGCCCAAGUGCUUGUAGCUUUAGAACAAGGGGCUUCCACUGAUAUUUGGCUAACUAUGCUUAAGCAAUAGGCCGCCGGCCAGACAGCUCUUGCACACCCGGAGCCUAGGCUCAUUGCAUAGGGUAGAGUGUCUGGUUUAAGCAGCCCAUGAGGGAUGUUGAGCAAGGCAUCGCACAGAGAGUUGCCCAGUAUGCAGGCUUCUCUGGGAGGCAUGUUGUCCUGCAUAAGGGUUGCCUGCCCUAGUCUCCCUUUCCCAGAAAAACGGCAGAGGACAGGUCGAGAGCGCUUCG
rnacentral:lncRNA from 1 species